rnacentral:rRNA from 1 species
UGGGGAAUUUUGGACAAUGGGGGAAACCCUGAUCCAGCCAUCCCGCGUGUGCGAUGAAGGCCUUCGGGUUGUAAAGCACUUUUGGCAGGAAAGAAACGUCAUGGGUUAAUACCCCGUGAAACUGACGGUACCUGCAGAAUAAGCACCGUCUAACUACGUGCCAGCAGCCGCGGUAAUACGUAGGGUGCAAGCGUUAAUCGGAAUUACUGGGCGUAAAGCGUGCGCAGGCGGUUCGGAAAGAAAGAUGUGAAAUCCCAGAGCUCAACUUUGGAACUGCAUUUUUAACUACCGGGCUAGAGUGUGUCAGAGGGAGGUGGAAUUCCGCGUGUAGCAGUGAAAUGCGUAGAUAUGCGGAGGAACACCGAUGGAGAAGGCAGCCUCCUGGGAUAACACUGACGCUCAUGCACGAAAGCGUGGGGAGCAAACAGG